CGUUCGAUAGUACGUUCUCCGAUGACGCAUAUAUGUAUAUAUGUACUUUGGCAUUCUACUAAGUUGCGAUUACAUAUCGUGAAAAAGAGGUUAUUAUUUAUAUUCUGCGAAAAAAUAAUCUUGAAUGAUAUUGUUUGAUUUAUGCUUUCAUAAGGUUAAUUAUUAAAUUGAAAACAAUUUUCUUAACAAAUUAUCGAAUGAACAUAUUUUCUCCUACAUUGUCGAAUUUACAUCCAUACAGUGUAAAGAAAGAUGUUGUCAGCGAAGUUAGGAUUGAAUUGCAUUCAAUGCAUCAGCCAUACAAACUACUACUUCAUCAAGUUUCUGAAAAAUUGAGGUCUAAGAUUAGUGAAAUUUAAUAAAGUGAAUAUUCAAAUAAGAUGGUAUAAACGAUAAUGACAAUGAUAUAAUCAUAGAUUUGAGUAUUCUCAAUUCUGUAUUUAAUGAUUAUAAUUUCCUGCUUGCAGUGAAGGGAGAAGGAAUGACAUUAAAGACGUCGCUACAAGAAAUGUGUUCGUUUGUAGAGUUCAAUAAUUUCUUAUCGAAAUUGUAUAAGCCACGAAUAAUGUUUCAAAUUGGCUAAGCACAAGGAUAACGAAAAGGACAGAAACACGACUUCAACAGAGAAAGGAGAAUCUGUCCCAGAGAUCAUGUUUUGACGAAAAGACUAUUAAGGAUUGUCUCCCAGACUGUAUCAUUGAUCAACUAUUAGAAUAUUAUGGUUAAGUUAUACGAUACAACAAACAUAACCUAAAUGUUAUAAACUAAAACUAGGAAGUAAAACGGCCAUACUGAAGGAACUGAACAAGGAGCAAGUUGACAAAGAAGAAAUACAACCAUAAAUAUUGUCUAACAAAUCAAGAUUUUUAGUAAGAUGAAAGAAAAUUCAUUUGGAUAAUACAGAAGAAGAUGAACAUUAAAGCAAUGAAUAGUUU